UACGUAGGGUGCAAGCGUUAAUCGGAAUUACUGGGCGUAAAGCGUGCGCAGGCGGUUGUGUAAGACAGAUGUGAAAUCCCCGGGCUCAACCUGGGAACUGCAUUUGUGACUGCACAGCUGGAGUGCGGCAGAGGGGGGAUGGAAUUCCGCGUGUAGCAGUGAAAUGCGUAGAUAUGCGGAGGAACACCGAUGGCGAAGGCAAUCCCCUGGGCCUGCACUGACGCUCAUGCACGAAAGGCGUGGG
rnacentral:rRNA from 1 species